GCCAGCCUUGGAUUCAGUUAUCAGCACUGAACACAGAUCACUCACCAUGGAGUGGGGGCUGAGCUGGGUUUUCCUUGUUGCUAUUUUAAAAGGUGUUCAGUGUGAGGUGCAGGUGGUGGAGUCUGGGGGAGGCUUGGUGAAGCCUGGAGGGUCCCUGAAACUCUCCUGUGCAGCCUCUGGAUUCACAUUCGAUGAUUACAGCAUGUACUGGGUCCGCCAGGCUCCAGGGAAAGGACUGGAGUGGCUCUCAUACAUUAGUUAUGAUGGUGGUAGCACAAGUUAUGCAGACUCCGUGAAGGGCAGAUUCACCAUCUCCAGAGACAAUAACAAGAAUACACUGUAUCUGCAAAUGAACAGCCUGAGAGCCGAGGACACCGCCACGUAUUACUGUGCAAAAGACACAGUGUGCGAACUUCAGUGUGAGCCCAGGCACAAACCUCCCUGCAGGGAUGCGCACAACCAGCAGGGGGCGCGCAGGACACACUGA